rnacentral:rRNA from 1 species
AUUGAACGCUGGCGGCAUGCUUUACACAUGCAAGUCGAACGGCAGCGCGGGCUUCGGCCUGGCGGCGAGUGGCGAACGGGUGAUUAAUACAUCGUAACGUGCCCAGUAGUGGGGGAUAGCUCGGCGAAAGCCGGAUUAAUACCGCAUACGACCUGAGUGUGAAAGCGGGGGAUCUUCGUACCUCGCGCUAUUGGAGCGUCCGAUGGCAGAUUAGCUAGUUGGUGGGGUAAAGGCCUACCAAGGCGACGAUCUGUAGCUGGUCUGAGAGGACGACCAGCCACACUGGGACUGAGACACGGCCCAGACUCCUACGGGAGGCAGCAGUGGGGAAUUUUGGACAAUGGGCGAAAGCCUGAUCCAGCAAUGCCGCGUGUGUGAUGAAGGCCUUCGGGUUGUAAAGCACUUUUGGCGGGAACGAAAAGGAAUGUGCCAAUACCACGGUUCGAUGACGGUACCCGCAGAAUAAGCACCGGCUAACUACGUG